AAUAGAAUUUCUGGGUAAAUAUUGUUACUUUUUGAGGAAUUGACAAAUUAUUUUCCAAAGCAGUUGCACCAUUUACAUUACUACCAGUAAU
rnacentral:pre_miRNA from 1 species